GUCCGUUGCGCAUGCGGUGUUGGGUGAGGAUUGGAUUGGCGCGGCUGUAGCUUCUCUGUGGCGGGACCGUUGAAUUGGAGGGUGAGCGCAGUUCGGUUGCGAGGGGCAGGGAUGGUCGAGGGAGAUCAUCAACUGAGCGGAAUAUGAGGCGAUCGGCAGCUCCAAGUCAGCUGCUGGGGAAUUCAGCAAAAAAGCCAAGAUUUAUGCCUCCAGGGAAAGCAAAUACACUUUAUCUGAAGAAGGAGCCUAGCUACUCAGACUUGGACAUUGAAGUAGCUGAGGUAGUAUUGAAAGGAGAGAAACUUGUGAAAGAGAAACAACAGACUGGUUCAACAUUCGUAAACAGUUCUUCCAGUGCUUGUGGCUUUAGUCCGAUAACGUCUGGGAAACUGGACAGAGGAGAUGCAGAAAGCUGGCAUUCGGACAUGGGAGUGAAAUCGGUAUAUAAAACUAAAACAGAUUUCUGUUCCCACAGGAUGCUAUCCUCAAUAACACUCCAACUUCCUGAUCUUGCUUUCAUGAGUUUACCCAUAAAAUUACAAAAAAGUAUACAUAAAUAACAAUACAGAU